UCUUAUGUACAUGCCUACAAAUUAGAACUUCGCAGCUAAGUAUGCUCGGGCUAGAGUAGUACUGGGAUGGGUGACUACCAAGGAAGUUCUAGUGUUUUACAUGCC
rnacentral:rRNA from 1 species